AUGAUGACUGUGAUGGAAACACAGUAGGAUAAUAGCCCCUGUUUAAGAGAGCUGGUGGAGGUGCAAACCAGUACACGCUAUUGUGUGAAUUACAUUUCCGGAGUCUUGGCGUAAAGCCACGCGACAGCGUUAAAUGUUUGAGUGAUAUGUUUUAUCUUAAAACAUAUAAUUUGGGUGGUACCGCGAAUUUUCGUCCCUUGG
rnacentral:ncRNA from 1 species